CGCUCAGGACACCUCAUGGAGGACGCUUCUUCUGCCUUAUUAUGGUGUUCCAGAAUGGUGGAAGUGUUGGCUGGUCAGCUUCGGAUAAGUGGAUGAGGCAAUGGCCUCAUGACAACUGUUCCUCGAAGCAAUCUGCGGCCCACUGCCUUCAUUGCCCUCCAGCUCCUCAUCCGCACAAAGGAUAUUCGGAACUGCUUUAUAUAUCUUCCUUGCUACACAUUGCAACAGUAUUCGGUACAAGAGGGUAGUGUUGCACAUGGUCAUCUAGCCAGGUUCUUCAACACGGUCACUAUUGACACUCCCUCUCCGGGUUGAUGGGACUAUUGAAGGGGUCGAUAAAUGGAUGGGGGUUAGUAAAUGUCUGGGGGAAGUGCUCUGCAUUGUGUACCUGACAUUCCACCUUCCUCUUCCUGUAUCGAGAAAUACCACACCUCAAACUAUUGGAAGGCCAGUAUAUUCGAAACUCCCAUAGUGAUAGUGGUGCUAGUAAUGAUUGCUGAGCAUUUACUAUAAAUUCUGCAUUGUGACCCAUAAUGGCAGCUGCUGUUACCAAGAAAGUGCAAACAGUAUUCACAAGAAUAUUUAAAAUUUGGAUUCGUAACUUCAUUUACCAAUGAAACAAUGCCUAUGUGCCUAUUAUGUGAAAAGACUUUCAGUAAUGAAGCCAUGAAACCUUCAAAGAUGAAAGAUCAUCUUGGAAGGGUUCACUCUGAUGAAAAAAUAGACCUUGAUUAUUUUAAGACACUGAAAGAAAAAAUUAAAAAUAGACCAAAUUUGAAGACAUUUUUCAAAGCUCCUGCAAAUGUUGAUAAAGGAGGACUGAAGGCAUCAUACAAUAUCUCCCUCACAAUAGCAAAGAAAGGAAAAUCGCCUAAAAUUGGCGAGGAGAUAAUUCCAGCAAUUAGAGGUGAUUGAAACUGUUAUGAAUAAAGACUCAGCCUACCCUAAAAUGUCUGUCAUUAAGUGACGAUACAGUACAACUGAUUGACGAGAUGGCCAAUGAUGUUGAAAAAAACCCUUGCAGCUGAGCUUUAGCACUCAAAGUUUUGUCUUCAGCUUGACGAGUCAAUUUUCAGCAGCUCAAAUAUUCUCAUGGCCUAUGUGAAGUAUUACAGUAGAAGUCAAAAGUGCAUUGUUGAUGAAUUUUUGUUUGCCAAGUAUCUUAAAGGUGCAACAAUUUUUCAGUGUUUGGAGGAAUAUUUGGAAAAGCACAAUAUACCCAUCAGCAAUAUUACUACAGUGGCUACUGAUGGUGCACCAGCAAUGGUUGGCAGCUACAGAAGACUUUCCACAUUACUCGAGGAAAAGGUAUCCGAUAUACGUACUGUUCAUGGUGUCUUAGAGACACCAUCUUGUAGCCAAGAAACUCAUUGGUGAAUGGCAUGAUGCCUUGCAAGUGUAACAGACUGAACCUGGAAGAAUGUGGUGACUUAAGACUAAAACUCGCCAAUUUCCAACCAGAUAUUGAUGCCCUUGUUGAUGCUCAUCAGAUGCAUCCUUCUCAUUAAAAGGUACAGCUCUUGGGCCAUGGCUUCCAAAAUCAUAGAUUUAUGGGGAAAACUUCAGUUGUCUAGACAGAUUACAAAGGAUACGUCUCUUCAGUUGGAACCCUCCAUUUGAUGCAAAGUGAAAGGAUGAUACCUGCCUGUGCCUGCCCUUGGAUGAUUGAGAACUAUGGCAAUGUCAGGAGUGCCCUGAUGUGCGGAACAAAAAUAGCUGCUUAGUAGUGACUUGCUAACUACACGGUAGCAAACAGCAUACGUAUGGCGGUUUCCAUCACAGGAUACACGUUACACACUAUUGGCAAGGUGCAGUUAGCUUACCAAGGCAACUUGCAGUAGGUGAUGCAUACAAAGGAGAUAUCGUUGUGACCCUUUCAGGUGAUUUUUCUCUUCGUAAGGACUUGUGCCAGUAUCAUGGUCAUUACCUGCGUGUGGAUGGAGGACUAAAUUUUCAGAGAUGCCCGAAUAAACGAUGAUGGGCAUGCUUACAUAGAGGGUCACAAGACUGGUGAGUUGCAGGAAUUUCCUUUAUGGCAGUGUUCACACCACUAGUCCCAAUCAAAAUAUACCAUUGACGAUCGGCUGCUACAGUAUAUUGUUCCAGCCUUUUCACAGUGGUAGAUGAAAUGAGAAUUCAGCUAAUUCUGGUAGUUACAGCCAGGAUUUUCCACAUUCUCUAACAAUGAAAUGAGCUAAUAUAAAAGUGUGCUUGAAAUAUUUUCUACUUCAUAGAAUUUUUUUGCUAUUAAAGACCUGGUAACACUUACAAAACUUAAUUUUGUGUUUAAAGUGUUUAAUUUUGAGACCAUGGUAUCUAGUUGUGGUCCCUUGAUCAAACUAGGUUGCCCACCAUCCUUUAAUGGACUGUGGCAUGGUUUGGAAAUUUUAUAUGCUGGUGAGUUUAUAUUAUUUGUAGAUUUUCUUUUUUAAUAGGAACUAGUUCGUGCUGUGAAUGGUGCUUGACUUGGAGAACUACAGUUUGGCAAAGGAAUGUAUAAAGAAAUACUCAACUCUGUAACUUAAUAAAUAAGUAAAUGAAA